rnacentral:rRNA from 1 species
AGUGAACGCUGGCGGCAUGCCUAACACAUGCAAGUCGAACGGCAACACAGUAAGAUCGUGCUCUUCCGGAGGGCGAGUCGGGUACGGGACAGGAGUACAUCGUGAUCUACAUUUUCGUGGAAGAUCAGGUAGCGAAACCUACGACCAUACCGCAUACGCUGUUGGGGGGAAAGCAUGGGAACUUCGGAGCUGUCGCGAUUGGAUUAGCCGAUGUCGGAGUAGCUAGUUGGCGGGGUAAAGGCCCACCAAGGCGACGAUCGGUAGCCGGUGUGAGAGGAGGAUCAGCCACACUGGAACUUGGACACGGACCAGACUCCUACGGGAGGCAGCAGUGGGGAAUAUUGGACAAUGGGCGCAAGCCUGAUACAGCCAUCCCGCGUGGGUGAAGAAGGCCUUCGGGUUGUAAAGCCCUUUUGUUGGGAAAGAAAAGCUGCAGGCUAAUACCACGCUGUAGUGACGGUACCGAAAGAAUAAGCACCGGCUAACUUCGUG